rnacentral:rRNA from 1 species
ACGAGCGGCGGACGGGUGAGUAAUGUCUGGGAAACUGCCUGAUGGAGGGGGAUAACUACUGGAAACGGUAGCUAAUACCGCAUGACGUCUUCGGACCAAAGUGGGGGACCUUCGGGCCUCACGCCAUCAGAUGUGCCCAGAUGGGAUUAGCUAGUAGGUGGGGUAAUGGCUCACCUAGGCGACGAUCUCUAGCUGGUCUGAGAGGAUGACCAGCCACACUGGAACUGAGACACGGUCCAGACUCCUACGGGAGGCAGCAGUGGGGAAUAUUGCACAAUGGGCGCAAGCCUGAUGCAGCCAUGCCGCGUGUAUGAAGAAGGCCUUCGGGUUGUAAAGUACUUUCAGCGAGGAGGAAGGCAUUGUGGUUAAUAACCACAGUGAUUGACGUUACUCGCAGAAGAAGCACCGGCUAACUCCGUGCCAGCAGCCGCGGUAAUACGGAGGGUGCAAGCGUUAAUCGGAAUUACUGGGCGUAAAGCGCACGCAGGCGGUUGAUUAAGUCAGAUGUGAAAUCCCCGAGCUUAACUUGGGAACUGCAUUUGAAACUGGUCAGCUAGAGUCUUGUAGAGGGGGGUAGAAUUCCAGGUGUAGCGGUGAAA